AAGGACGAACGCUGGCGGCGUGCUUAACACAUGCAAGUCGAACGAGGGUUAUUGGUAGCUUGCUACUGGGUAAUCGAGUGGCGGACGGGUGAGUAACGCGUGAAUAAGUCUGUACCUAGUACAGGGGGGAUAACGCAUCGAAAGAUGUGCUAAUACCGCGUAGGACCACGAUGUCGCAUGGCAUUGAGGUGAAAGGAGCAAUCCAGUAUAGGGUGAGUUCGCGUCUGAUUAGAUAGUUGGUGAGGUAACGGCCCACCAAGUCAACGAUCAGUAGCCGACCUGAGAGGGUGAUCGGCCACAUUGGGACUGAGACACGGCCCAGACUCCUACGGGAGGCAGCAGUGGGGAAUAUUGGGCAAUGGGCGAAAGCCCUGACCCAGCAACGCCGCGUGAAGGAAGAAGGUUUUCGGAUUGUAAACUUCUGUCCUAUGUGAAGAGAAAGAGACGGUAGCAUAGGAGGAAGCCCCGGCUAACUACGUGCCAGCCGCGGC
rnacentral:rRNA from 1 species